AGAUUGAACGCUGGCGGCAUGCUUUACACAUGCAAGUCGAACGCGAAAGGGGGCAACCCUGAGUAGAGUGGCGAACGUGUGAGUAAUGCAUCGGAACGCGUCCUGUAGUGGGGGACAACCCCGAGAAAUCGGGGCUAAUACCGCAUACGAUCUGCGGAUGAAAGUGGGGACCGCAAGGCCUCACGCUAUAGGAGCGGCCGAUGCCGGAUUAGCUAGGUUGGUAGGGGUAAACGCCCACAAGGCGACGAUCCGUAGCUGGUCUGAGAGGACGACCGACGCCACACUGGGACUGAGACACCGACCCACGACUCCGUACGGGAGGCAGCAGGUGGGUA
rnacentral:rRNA from 1 species